GAUGAACGCUAGCUACAGGCUUAACACAUGCAAGUCGAGGGGAAACGACAUCGAAAGCUUGCUUUUGAUGGGCGUCGACCGGCGCACGGGUGAGUAACGCGUAUCCAACCUGCCCACCACUUGGGGAUAACCUUGCGAAAGUAAGAAUAAUACCCCAUGACGUCUCUAGAAGACAUCUGAAAGAGAUUAAAGAUUUAUCGGUGAUGGAUGGGGAUGCGGCUGAUUAGCUUGUUGGCGGGGUAACGGCCCACCAAGGCGACGAUCAGGAGGGGUUCUGAGAGGAAGGUCCCCCACAUUGGAACUGAGACACGGUCCAAACUCCUACGGGAGGCAGCAGUGAGGAAUAUUGGUCAAUGGGCGAGAGCCUGAACCAGCCAAGUAGCGUGCAGGAUGACGGCCCUAUGGGUUGUAAACUGCUUUUAUAAGGGAAUAAAGUGAGUCUCGUGAGACUUUUUGCAUGUACCUUAUGAAUAAGGACCGGCUAAUUCCGUGCCAGCAGCCGCCGUAA
rnacentral:rRNA from 1 species